AUCAUCAUUACCAGCUGCCGUGUUAAGCAUUGCGAAAACGCUCACGAUUCACAGAAAAAUCCAUGCUGUUCUUUGAAGGCAUUCAAGCCUUAAUAGCUAGCUGGAUGAAUGUUUAACUUCUAGGCCAGGCACUACUCUGUCCCAACAAUAAGCCCUGUACAUUGGGAAAGGUGCCGAGACAUGAACUUUGGUCUUCUCUGCAAUCCAUCUGGAGCAUUCACUGACAACAUCGACUUUGAAGUUGCACUGACCUGGCCAGCCCUGCCACUUACCAGGUUGGCUCUGUAUGGCUAAGCGUUUUCUCCUAAAAUCCCUUGAAAACUGUGAGAAGACCAUAAGAAGAUCAUAUCUUUAAUUCUAUUUCACAAGUCACACAAUAUUCCAAUCAAAUACAGAUGGUUGAGAAAAGUCAUCCAUCUUCCCUCCCCACCCUCCCACAGCCCCUCAACCACUGCCCUGAAACUUAUAUGCUGUUAUCCGCAGCUCCAUCUGGAGCAUCACAGCUACUGUCAACCCUGACGCUCUUUCUGAAAAAACACCGGAUGGACAUCAGAACUAUUUCUUUAAGGAUGUUACUGAGCCACACAGGAAAACUUGCCUUAUGAUUUUGAAUGCACGGAUCUGAUUUGACUAAACAUGAUAACUAGAGAAUCACCCAAUCUACUCCCAUUUUCAACUCUAAAUCAUCAGAGUGUCUCAAAUCCAAAGCACACACAGACCAGCCUGGCCAACACGGUGAAACUCCACCCCUACUAAAAGUAUAAAAAUUAUCCAGGUGUGGUGGCGGGCGCCUGUAAUCCAAGCUACUUGGGAGUCUGGAGGCAGGAGAAUCCCUUGAACCUGGGAGAUGGAGGUUGCAGUGAGCAGAGAUCACACCACCGCACUCUAGCCUGGGCCACAAAUCAACAACAACAACAACAACAAAAAACAAAGCGCACACAGAGACUGAGGUCCUCUUUGGCAUUGAGAAGAUGGCUAUGCAAGUCCCAACUAGCAAGUGCAAACUUCCCAGCUUCACUUCUGCCAGUGUCCCUUCACCCCUUCUCAACCCCACUGGGAGGCAGGAGGGUGCUUGACAAUAACAGCCUUGGCAUCACUCUGCCAGGGUGUAAUAGGAACUGUUACAAUUCUGAGAUUCUGUGUAAGCACUGGCCUUUCUGCCUAGAAUGCCUUCUCCUCUCUUUUUUAACUGCAUGCUCCUAUUUAUCUUUCAAAGCCCGGAAAAAAUAACACUGCACACGGGAAAUGCUCCCUUCCUACUGCAGUCAUUUAGAUGACUCUAUGCCAUUCCAUUCAUUUCUCUUUCCUACCACAGAAGUGCUUUGAGAUUUUGGAGUCAGACUGCUUGAACUUGAAUCCUGGCCCUCUCAUCAGAGACUUGACUUAUUUUAGGCAAGUUAUAUAACCAAUUUUACCUCAGUUCCUUACCCAUAAAAUGGGUCUAAUGAGAGUACCUACCACACAGAAUUUUGAUGAAAACUGAAUGAGAUGAAGGCCUUUAAGGCAGUGGUCCCCAACCCUGGGGACACAGACAGGUACCAUUUUGUGGCCUGUUAGGAACUGGGCCACACAGCAGGAGGUGAGCAGUGGGUGAGUGAGAUCAGCGUUAUUUACAGCUGCUCCCCAUUGCUCACCUUACUGCCUGAGCUCCACCUCCUGUCAGAUCAGCAGUGGCAUUAAAUUCUCAUAGCAGCACAAACCCUGUCAUGAACUGCACAUGCGAGGGAUCUAGGUUGUGCGCUCCUUAUGAGAAUCUAAUGCCUAAUGACCUGUCACCGUCUCCCAUCACCCCUAGAUGGGAGUGUCUAGUUGCAGGAAACAAGCUCAGGGCUUCCACUGAUUCUACAUUAUGGUGAGUUGUAUAAUUAUUUCAUUAUAUAAUACAAUGUAAUAAUAAUAGAAACACAGUGCACAACAAAUGUAAUGUGCUUGAAUCAUCCCCAAACCAUCCCAGUCCACGGUCUUCCACAUUUUGUCUUUUCACAAAAUUGUCUUCCACAAAACUGGUCCCUGGUGCCAAAAAGGCUUGGGACCACUGCUUUAAAGCCUUUGCAUAGUGCUUAGAAUUGAGGGGGAAAAAAAAAACAAAAACAAUGUAGCUAGUUGCUACAAUCACUAUAUUGGUGAGUUU
rnacentral:lncRNA from 1 species